AGAUUGAACGCUAGCGGGAUGCUUUACACAUGCAAGUCGAACGGCAGCGCAAGACCUUCGGGUCUGGCGGCGAGUGGCGAACGGGUGAGUAAUGUAUCGGAACGUGCCUAGUAGCGGGGGAUAACUACGCGAAAGCGUGGCUAAUACCGCAUACGCCCUACGGGGGAAAGGGGGGAUCGGCAAGACCUCUCACUAUUAGAGCGGCCGAUAUCAGAUUAGCUAGUUGGUGGGGUAAAAGGCCCACCAAGGCCACGAUCUGUAGCUGGUUUGAGAGGACGACCAGCCACACUGGGACUGGGACACGGCCCAGACUCCUACGGGAGGC
rnacentral:rRNA from 1 species